rnacentral:lncRNA from 1 species
AGUGGCGGAAGGAGCAGUGAGACUGGGGGGUCCAUUGCCCCUGCUUAACUCGUAUGUAAAAAUAUUUUACAGGCUUCAUUUUGUUGAUUGAUCUGGCUGCCCCUGCUUAAAUUAUAAAAUCAAAACUUUUGUACACAUAAAUUUCCUAAGUCCAUAGGUUAAAAUAGCCCAGGCCCACCCAGCAAGUUCACUUAAAACAGAAGAAAGAAAUACACGCACUAAAACAUAAAGUCAAGAAAUAGAGUUAAGAAACAGAGUAAGGAUACUCCCCAUCUCGCCUAGCAAACAAAAC